rnacentral:rRNA from 1 species
CUACAAAUGAAUUGACGGGGCCCGCGACAAGCGGUGGAGCAUGUGGUUUAAUUCGACGCAACGCGAAGAACCUUACCAGGGCUUGACAUCCCUGACCGCGUAUGAAAGUACGUUUUCACCCUCGGGUGACAGGGAGACAGGUGGUGCAUGGUUGUCGUCAGCUCGUGUCGUGAGAUGUUGGGUUAAGUCCCGCAACAAGCGCAACCCCUAUUGUUAGUUGCCAUCAUUCAGUUGGGCACUCUAGCGAGACUGCCGGUAAUAAACCGGAGGAAGUGGGGAUGACGUCAAAUCAUCAUGCCCCUUAUGACCUGGGCUACACACGUGCUACAAUGGUUGGUACAACGAGUUGCGAGUCGGUGACGGCGAGCUAAUCUCUUAAAGCCAAUCUCAGUUCGGAUUGUAGGCUGCAACUCGCCUACAUGAAGUCGGAAUCGCUAGUAAUCGCGGAUCAGCACGCCGCGGUGAAUACGUUCCCGGGCCUU